UUGAGGUACAGCUCAGAGGUAAAGUGUUUACCUAACAAGUACAAGACCCAAGGUUCAAUCCCUAGCAAUGAAA
rnacentral:tRNA from 1 species